rnacentral:snoRNA from 1 species
CCCAGCUGUCGGCAGCUGCUUAGGCUGCCUUGCACCUAGGCAAGUUUUACACUGCUGGGAGAAAAGCAGCCAGUAGCUGGUGGGCAUUCUGGGCCUGGUUAAUGCCAAAUCUGUGAUAACUAUACCAGUGUGCCUUUCCCCUUCCCUCCAUGAGGACUAGGAGGAAAAAAAA